UACGUAGGGGGCUAGCGUUGUCCGGAAUCAUUGGGCGUAAAGAGCGUGUAGGCGGCCCGGUAAGUCCGCUGUGAAAGUCGGGGGCUCAACCCUCGAAUGCCGGUGGAUACUGUCGGGCUAGAGUGCGGAAGAGGCGAGUGGAAUUCCUGGUGUAGCGGUGAAAUGCGCAGAUAUCAGGAGGAACACCAAUUGCGAAGGCAGCCCCCUGGGUCAAAACUGACGCUCAUGCACGAAAGCGUGGGGAGCAAACAGG
rnacentral:rRNA from 1 species